UACGUAGGGGGCAAGCGUUGUCCGGAAUCAUUGGGCGUAAAGAGCGCGUAGGCGGUCCGGUAAGUCCGCUCUGAAAGUCCGGGGCUCAACCCCGGGAGGCGGGCGGAUACUGUCGGGCUAGAGUCCGGAAGAGGCGAGUGGAAUUCCUGGUGUAGCGGUGAAAUGCGCAGAUAUCAGGAGGAACACCAAGGGCGAAGGCAGCUCGCUGGGACGGUACUGACGCUGAGGCGCGAAAGCGUGGGGAGCAAACAGG
rnacentral:rRNA from 1 species